UACGAAGGGGGCUAGCGUUGCUCGGAAUGACUGGGCGUAAAGGGCGCGUAGGCGGCUUGCACCGUCAGAUGUGAAAUUCCUGGGCUUAACCUGGGGGCUGCAUUUGAUACGUGUGGGCUGGAGUGCGGAAGAGGGUCGUGGAAUUCCCAGUGUAGAGGUGAAAUUCGUAGAUAUUGGGAAGAACACCGGUGGCGAAGGCGGCGACCUGGUCCGUGACUGACGCUGAGGCGCGAAAGCCAGGGGAGCGAACGGG
rnacentral:rRNA from 1 species